CCCCUGUCCCCUAUCUCCUCACACACAUCUCCCCUGCCAACCCCCUCCUCGGUGACUCGGUCUCCUCACACAGAUCUCCGCAGCCCCCCACCCUUCCCUUACACACAUCUCCACAGCGGGCCCCCCUGGCCGUGAGGCCCGGUCGCAGUUGCGACCCUUGCGACCUCUAUAGCUACGCCACUGCUGAAGGCAUUGUGUGUGUGGGAUAGAAGUUGGAGGCAUUUGGAGGGAGGCUGGAGGUUCUGCGGUAAAAAGUUGUGGCUGUAAGAAACUGUCGUGAUGACCAGGGCCAGAUGGAGAAGAAAAGGUAAAAGUGAACAACUCCGAUCAGAGAAGACAUCAUCAUGUCGAAAAUGUAUAUGGGCUGUCACAUCCUUUCCACGGUGUGCACUGGUGACCCACACAGUGAACAAAUGAGCAGAACAUAAUAUGUAGAAUAUACUUAAGCUAUAGAAAUCUCUUAAUAGAAUUCAUGAAUUGAAUAUUGUUAUAAAAAAAAAGGAUUUAACCUUGUAGCGAAUGCAAUCUUAUAGACUCUUCAUAUAAAGCAGAAAUGAGCUUUGUCUUUCUAGCACAGUCUUUAGCCUACCCAAGCCCCUUUCUCUGAAGACUUCAAUAAGGGAAAACAGGUCAGAGAAAGCUGCAUGAAAAAACAUCUAAACAUCUGUUGCUCUAAACAGUUCCUGACAUGGACAGAGGUGGCAGCAGAGAGCACUGUAGUCAGACUGGAAAGAACUACACAACUUCCUGUGGAGCAUGCAGCAGAUGAUAAGUUUUAAAUAGAAGUAAUUUUCAAAUCUGUGUAACUUUCUGACACCAGUUGAUUUGAAAACAUUUUUAUUCAUCUGGAGUACCACUUUAAAGGGUUAUUCUAUUCUAUACUUGAAGCAACAGAAAACCCAUCUUCUUUAGAACUUCUGCAGCUCAAAACACCAUCAUACAAAAUGUUAUAUAUGAUUUCCACCACUAAAGACUUUCUAUCAAUCUCAUAUGCAUCUUCUGAAUAUACUACAAUCAAUCAGCCUAACAUUAUGAAACUUAUAUUAAAGAUGUGCUCUGGGGAACUGAACUUAUCAGACACUUAUCUCCUAUCCACAGGAUACAGAAUAAUCAAUGGGGUGUCAGCUACUUGCCCGUCUUCUGAGUGCUCUGGCCCCCACCUUACUGGAUGUGCACAAGUGAUGGACCUCUUAGCCAAUCACUGACUGAGGCUUGACAUCAAAGCAGCCAAUGAUUGGUUGAGCAGGUUGUCACUUGCGCUCAUCCUAGAAGUUGGAGGUUGGAAUGUACCAAGGAUAGUCCCAGCGGUCUGACCCCUCGUAGUCAGACACUCGUCUCCUAGCCCAUGGAGUUAAGUGUCUGAUAAGUUCAGCUCUCCGGAGUAUCUGUUUUAUAACAAAUGUGCAGCAUAAAUACUCUAGAACUGUAGAAAAAUGUAUGGACUGCACAUCCGUUUUAUACAGUGAUCUAUUGCUACUAAGCCAUUUUUAGAAAUGAACAUGAAAUCCUUCAUAUACAUUUUGUUGAAACUGUGGAGCAACUAUUGAAACAUUUAAUUGAAAGGCGUAAAAUGUAAAUGAGAUCAGUGUUUCCAUCCACCUACUGCAACAAAAUGCCAGACACUACACAACACGCUCUGAUGUACCCAUCUCUGGUAGCAUGUUUCCCCUCUGGGUAGAAUGUUCACCAUAAAUAUGGAUAAAUAUAAACAUAUAAUGUUAAAUUAAAAAUAGUUUCCUGACACGGUGAAUAUAUCACGAAUGAUGUGUGACAUUUAUGUAGGGCUGUUGUCAUAUCCUUUCCAUUGUGGCCUGUGGUCACCUACGCUAAACAAGUGGGCAGAAAAUCCUAUUUCUACAAUGCCCUUGUGUGCUUUUUUUUGGUAAUUUUACAUUGUACUUUCUUGUUAGGCUGCAUAGACAGUGUUUAUUACAAAAAAAUACUUUGACAAUGGACAUAUUUAUUAACCCCUGAAGGGCACAGCAUACUGCCCUUAGGACACAACAAGUUUACUUUUUAGCAUUUUCUUUUUUACUCCUCGCAUUUUAUGAGACAUUACUCUUUUAUUUUUCCACCACAGACCCAUAUGAGGACUUGUUUUGUGUGUGACUAAUUGUACUUUGUAAUGACAUCUUUCAUUUUACCGCAAACAAUACAGCACAAAUAAAAACCUGGUGGGUAAACAAACCUCUUGCAUACCUAUUGCAGGGGUGCCAAUCAGUUCUCUAACGUGGAAGAUAGAUGUAAACCCACUCACAUGUUUAUGUUUCAAGACGUGCAUUGAUAUCUAUGAUCAAAGCAUGGAAGCAUGGAACAGAGAAGGCCAUCUAAUGAUAGCACUCUAUUCUCUACAUUAGAAGGAAGUGACUGGCCCUCAUUUACUUAGAAAAUCGGGUUGUAAGUCUAUGUUGCUUUCUUACCCGACUGCUUUUUUCCCCUGGUAUUUAUUAUUAUGUCGCAUCCUGUUUGUCGCACGUGGGUUUUGUUGGUUUUGGUUUCCAACUCCUCUGAGUUGUCGGGAAAAAAUCCACAACAAUUCAACAAAUUCGGGUUGGAAACCUUUAUAAAUACGUGGGAAAGCUCAGAAAUGUCAGGUUACAUCCCUUUUUCGGGUUUGGGAGAAUCCACAUCGGGUCCGUUGGGAAAAAAUGUCGCAUCGUGUCGUAGACUGGCGCACGAUGUCUGCGACAUGUCGCAGACAAAGAUGCGCCAAAAAAAACCCAACAAAACAAGUCGGGUUUAGAAUAGUAAAUGAGGGCCACUGUUUUCAUAGUAAUGUCUUUCUGUCUUGAUAGUUGAAAGCCACAGAGACCUGUAACAUGAGCCACAUGACAUUACCCAAAAAGUUUCUUGGUAGG